AAAAUAUUCAUUUUGAGUUGCAUGUCUAAAAAUCUGGGACAGAUAUUUAGCACAGCAAGUUCAAAGACACCUACUUUCUUUCUGUAAAAUACAAGUGUAUUUCACAGAACAUUAGGAGAGAGUUGGCGUUUGAGAAUCACUGUGUUAAUGAAUGCAAGUGUCAGUCAGAGAUGGCAUCAAAGCAAGAAAUACAAACUUGCAUAGUGAAUUUAGGCAAGUUAUUUCACUCUCAGUGCCUUAGUUUCCUUGCUUGUAACCACAGGGGAAAGAGUACGUACCUACUGUAGAGGAGGUUAUCACAAUAAUCUGAAAUCUCCCUUUGGAUUUUCUGAGGACAGUCUCUUCAAAUGCCCAAAGUAUUUUGCUAGUUGGUGUGCCUAUAGCCUUUUGUUUCUAUGCUUGGCCUUUUUUAUAUAAGACACUAAAAUAACUCCUAUUGCAUGUCUAUGGAUGAUUCUCAAAUUGCAUCUCACUUUCUAGGUAAUAAAGAACAUUGCUGGUUUUAGUUUGUGUUGAAAAGUAGAGCUUGGAUAAUAUUAAUCAUGCCUUAUUAUAGAUACAUUAACACCACGGAUACCAGGUAACUUUUAUAUAAUUCUGAAAGAAAGCCAUUACAUUUAUCUACAAUUAAUCACUGUUUAGUAAUCUGUUCUCUAAAUUGAAAGUAGAAGUGGUAGAAUGAUGAUAAAGUAAUAUGGUAGCCAGGUUUUUAGUGUCUGCUUAAGAAUUGAUAGAGAACCAUGCUGGAUGUGAAACUAUAGAACAAGGCACAUACCGGGGUUAUGUACUGUGCUCCCCUUGCCCGCAGCUGAUUUAUUGAACUGCAGGAGUGAUCAGUAGUGAUUAUAGGCGUCAGGGAGGCAUGCAGCAUGUGGGCUGAAGUUCGAGGAUCCUCUGACCACAAUUCCCUAUCUGUUUGCAGUUGUAACUGUAAUAAACAUGGUCUGCACCAUGCUAAUGGCUGUGGGCACGGUUAUUUGGUAAGCAGGAUAUAGAGGAUGAAAUUUGUGCUUCUGAAAAGAUGCCUGUGUGGACUUAGAGAAGGAAGUGAGAAUUUAUCCUUGAUUCAUUUACAACUUGUGACACCUUCUUCUCUUGGCUGCGUAUAACAACUGAGUAAGACAGACAUACCAGACUUCUCCGUGAUUCAUCUCUAGGCCUAGUCUCUCCAGGGAAGCAGCAUGUUUUGAGCUCAUGUGGAGAAACCUGCAUGAAGUUUCUGUCUGUUUGGUAGAGCAGUAGAAGAUUUUAUUAGCCAGAGGUAGUUGGAGACCAUUUUUUCUUUCACCAGGAUUUCUUCUGGCUCUUACAAUUGGACCCCUAAAUGUAAAGCUGGAUUGGGCUCUACAUUAAAUGCUUGUUUCUCACAAUUCUGAAGCUACAUAGAAUAUGACUUUUGAUCAAAUAUUAAUACUUGCUUCUACUCCAUGUAAAAGAUUUUUUCUUGAGAUUCCAAGUUGCUUCAUAAUUCCUUUUGUUACAGGAAGAAUGGUUUAUAAAUAAAAAUAGCAUCUAUGAGUUUCCAGAAUUUGCACAGUUUUCUUCUAUUGUGGAAAAAAGGGGAGGAGUGGCAUACAGAAACAAUUUUUUUGUUUGUGUAGUAAUUGACUGCAGAAUAAAUCAGUUCACCAUGGAAUAAAAAUAACUUGCUAUAAUGGACACUUUCACAAUAUAUAUUGUUAGACUCAUUAAAGCUCAAACUAUUAUUUUUAAUGAGACACGAUGUAAGUUAGCUCUUUCCAAAUCAUGAAUUAUUAUAGCUCAUUUAGUCAUGCAUAGUGUUAAUUGUAGUUGUUGGGAUUUUGUUGUUUGGCUUGUUUUUUUAACUAAACUUUUAAAAACAAAUACAAAGAAAAUAGAAACCAGACAUGAGAAUUCUUCCAUGUUAGUCAAGCCUCAAUAGAGAAUCUGUGUCAGUGUUAGUAGUAUAGUGAGAAACUACAAGUAUCAAGUAUUUUAUCAUGAAUAAAACAACAUACAGAAUUGUAAAUUAAAGCAUUGAGCUCUCAGCAGAAAAACAUGCUUUAUCUGAUCUUCAAGGGGUUUUUUAAAAUUUAAUAGUACUUUGUAGAGCUGAUAAAAUAUUUUUUUUAAGCUCUAAUUAAGAAUACCAAAAUUCAGAUUCUUUUAUUGGCGCUUAAACCACAUGCAAACAAUUCAAAUCAGGAUUAAAAUUUUAAUAAAUUAUUAACAAGUGAAUGUUAUGCCACUCAGUGGCAUAUAUUGUAAUAGGUUUUAUUCAGACUUUCCUCCCAUUUCUCCUUUCCUCAGAAAUUCAAGUUGCAAUUUUUCAAGUUGAUGCUGUAGUUCUGUUGUCAAGAGAAAUUUUGCUAAGCCAUAAUGGAGAUUUUGUCUUUUGAUCGUUAAAAUCAUAAGGAAGAUGUGAGGGAAUAAAUAGAAAUGUAGCUUGAAAUGCAGUAUUAUGACUCUUUUAUUGGGGUGUUUGCUGUUUGCAGAUCACACUAAUUGGGCAACCAUAAGGUACUGUGCAAGCUUGGAGGGAAUACAGAGGGAACUUUGGAUGAUGCUGUUCAUCUUCUAUGAAACAAAAUUUAAAAUGCUCGUCCAAUACGUAAUUAAAAUGUGAAAGUAGCUCCCUGAGGAUUUUUAGGGAGAUGGGGUGGGGAUAAUGGUAUGUUAACAUGAUUUCACUAAAUUAAUUCUUUGGGAGGUAAUUAAGUGAGAUUGCCUACACUCCAUUACUUCCAAAGAGUAAAAUCUGACAUGGUCCAUCAUUUUCUUGUCUUGCUUUGAAACGACUGAUUUUUGAAGUAGUAUAAUAUGGUUGUUUGAAAACUGGUAUUAGAGGUCUCUAGUAACGUUAUGGACAUUGAGAAUAUAGACACCAAUUGCUUUUUUGAAUUUUAAUUCUGAAAUAAACACCUCAUAGUGAUAAA